UACGGAGGGUGCAAGCGUUAAUCGGAAUUACUGGGCGUAAAGCGUGCGCAGGCGGUUUGUUAAGUCCGCUGUGAAAUCCCCGAGCUCAACUUGGGAAUUGCAGUGGAUACUGGCAAGCUGGAGUGUGGUAGAGGAAGGUGGAAUUCCCGGUGUAGCAGUGAAAUGCGUAGAGAUCGGGAGGAACACCAGUGGCGAAGGCGGCCUUCUGGACCAAUACUGACGCUCAUGCACGAAAGCGUGGGGAGCAAACAGG
rnacentral:rRNA from 1 species